AUUGAACGCUGGCGGCAUGCUUUACACAUGCAAGUCGAACGGCAGCGGGGCUUCGCCCGCCGGCGAGUGGCGAACGGGUGAGUAAUGCAUCGGAACGUGCCCAGUCGUGGGGGAUAACACAUCGAAAGAUGUGCUAAUACCGCAUACGUCCUGAGGGAGAAAGCGGGGGAUCUUCGGACCUCGCGCGAUUGGAGCGGCCGAUGUCGGAUUAGCUAGUUGGUGGGGUAAAAGCCCACCAAGGCGACGAUCCGUAGCGGGUCUGAGAGGAUGAUCCGCCACACUGGGACUGAGACACGGCCCAGACUCCUACGGGAGGCAGCAGUGGGGAAUUUUGGACAAUGGGGGGCAACCCUGAUCCAGCCAUGCCGCGUGAGUGAAGAAGGCCUUCGGUUGUAAAGCUCUUUCGUACGGAAGAAAUACGCCGCCUCUAACAUAGGCGGUGGAU
rnacentral:rRNA from 1 species